rnacentral:rRNA from 1 species
GAUGAACGCUAGCUACAGGCUUAACACAUGCAAGUCGAGGGAAACGACAUCGAAAGCUUGCUUUUGGUGGGCGUCGACCGGCGCACGGGUGAGUAACGCGUAUCCAACCUGCCCACCACUUGGGGAUAACCUUGCGAAAGUAAGACUAAUACCCAAUGAUAUCCCACGAAGGCAUCCGAAUGGGAUUAAAGAUUUAUCGGUGAUGGAUGGGGAUGCGUCUGAUUAGCUUGUUGGCGGGGUAACGGCCCACCAAGGCAACGAUCAGUAGGGGUUCUGAGAGGAAGGUCCCCCACAUUGGAACUGAGACACGGUCCAAACUCCUACGGGAGGCAGCAGUGAGGAAUAUUGGUCAAUGGGCGAGAGCCUGAACCAGCCAAGUAGCGUGCAGGACGACGGCCCUAUGGGUUGUAAACUGCUUUUAUAAGGGAAUAAAGUGAGUCUCGUGAGACUUUUUGCAUGUACCCUAUGAAUAAGGACCGGCUAAUUCCGUG